ACGACAAUCUUUCGCCUAUAUUCUAGCAACUUGACUACAUAUUAUCUGUUAUGUGUCGCAUCGACACUAUAUGGGGUGUUAGGAUGGGUGGGUGUUUUUAACCCCACAUGGUGUGAUGGGAUGGACGGAGAUUGUGUGUAGAGGCUGGAGGUAGGAUUCUGCACGUUUGAUCUGUUAUCUGAUUCUGAUAUCUAUUACUGUU
rnacentral:lncRNA from 1 species